CUCUUAGCUCAGUUGGUAGAGCACCUCCAUGGUAAGGAGGGGGUCGACGGUUCGAGUCCGUCAGAG
rnacentral:tRNA from 1 species